AUGUUGGUGGCCAGGAUAAAAUCCGACCCCUCUGGAGACACUAUUUCCAGAACACGCAGGGUCUCAUUUUCGUUGUAGAUAGUAAUGACAGAGAGAGAAUUCAGGAAGCUGCCGAAGAAUUACAGAAAAUGCUUCAGGAGGAUGAGCUGAGAGAUGCAGUACUUCUAGUCUUUGCAAAUAAGCAAGACCUGCCCAACACCAUGGCGAUCAGUGAAAUGACAGACAAAUUGACACUCCAGACUCUUCGUAAUAAGAUUUGGUAUGUGCAAGCAACUUGUGCGACUCAAGGAACCGGUCUAUAUGAAGGACUUGACUGGCUUUCAAACGAGCUCUCCAUGCGCUAAAUCACGUACAAUUCUUGCACCGAGGACAUGGCGAUCGAAUUGGCCUAGGCUCGUAACAUCCAAACUAGUUUGCAUCUUGGUCAUUUAUAUGGUUUAAGGAACUGGUAUGGGCAGCCAACAGUCAUAUGUUUAAAGAUUUGUUUUGUUUAUUUACCAAAAUAUUUGUUUCCAUGUUACUUCCAGGGUAACAUGGCAGGGGUUAAAAUGGAAAAAUAUAAUAAAUCCUCCCUUCUGUGAAUGUGUAUUCCUGGUUCUACUUGUCCCCCAUUUUCCCCAAGCUUUUAUUCCUGGACAUAAUUAUUGUGAUGCUAUAGAAUUGAAAGUUGUUUUGUGGUGGACGGGAGGUUUGUUCCUCUUGUAAUCUUGUCAUUAACAGUCAUUUUUUAGUUGGUUGGGGCCAUGUGUUGCCCGAUCCUGGUUAACUGAUGGAUUUAAAAUAGUGUCUAUGCUUCAAGAUUUUUUUUUAUUUUUUUGAUUGUCAUUCCUUAGACAUUUCUGCUGAUUUAAAACAUAGCAUUCCAUGCGUAUUUAUUUAAAAUAUUUUCCCCACAAUAAAAACGAACCCUCUCAAGUGGCAGAGGGUA